rfam:Camelus ferus unplaced genomic scaffold scaffold1056, whole genome shotgun sequence.
GAGGGUACAGUUCAGUGGUAUAGUGAGUGCUUAGCAUGCACGAGGUCCUGGGUUCAAUCCCCAGUACCUCCA